CAGUCGAACGGGAUCCUUGGGGUUCAAGUCUUCGGACGAGAAUCUUUUGGUGAGAGUGGCGAACGGGUGAGUAACGCGUGGGUGAUUUACCCUGGAGUUGGGGAUAGCCGGCCGAAAGGUUGGAUAAUACCGAAUGGGGUCGCCCUCCGCAUGGAGGGCUGUCUAAAGGUGGGGAUCCGCAAGGACCUGCCGCUUCAGGAUAAGCCCGCGUCCCAUCAGCUUGUUGGCAGGGUAACGGCCUACCAAGGCUUACGGGUAGCUGGUCUGAGAGGAUGAUCAGCCACACUGGGACUGAGACACGGCCCAGACUCCUACGGGAGGCUGCAGUCGAGAAUCAUUCGCAAUGCGCGAAAGCGCGACGAUGCGACGCCGCGUGCAGGAUGACGGCCCUCGGGUUGUAAACUGCUGUCUUGAAGGAACAAUGGCACGGGGGUGAAUAGCCCGUUGUGCGUGAUGGUACUUCAGGAGGAAGCCACGGCUAACUCUGUGCCAGCAGCCGCGGUAAUACAGAAGUGGCAAGCGUUGUUCGGAUUUACUGGGCGUAAAGGGUGCGUAGGCGGUUCCGUAUGUCGGAUGUGAAAGCUCACCGUCCAUCGGUGAAAUGGCAUUCGAAACUGUGGAGCUGGAGUACAGGAGGGGAGAGCGGAAUUCUCGGUGUAGCGGUGAAAUGCGUAGAUAUCGAGAAGAACACCGGCGGCGAAGGCGGCUCUCUGGACUGAUACUGACGCUGAGGCACGAAAGCCGGGGGAGCAAACAGGAUUAGAUACCCUGGUAGUCCCGGCUGUAAACG
rnacentral:rRNA from 1 species